UCUUCAAGUUAGAGCCAUCUUUUCCACCAGUCUUCAGCUCUCGUGGAGUCCUAUACCAGGGGAGCUAACAACAUGCAAUGUGACCUCCUACAUAGUACAGUACAGAGUAGAGGGUAGCACAGUUUGGUCAGAGGUUCUCUCCCCUUCAUCUGAUCUCAACUUUACUAUACAGUCCCUCCAACCUUAGACCAGCUAUGAAUGUCAGGUCGCAGCCUUCACCUCCACAGUCACACCUGGGGUAGGGCUCUACACCCUACCUGUGCCAGCUAGGACCCUAGUAAGCUAAGGGAAGU